rnacentral:rRNA from 1 species
GUUGACCUCGGAUCAGGUAGGAAUACCCGCUGAACUUAAGCAUAUCAAUAAGCGGAGGAAAAGAAACCAACAGGGAUUGCCUCAGUAACGGCGAGUGAAGCGGCAACAGCUCAAAUUUGAAAUCUGGCCCCAGGCCCGAGUUGUAAUUUGCAGAGGAUGCUUUUGGUGCGGUGCCUUCCAAGUUCCCUAGAACGGGACGCCAGAGAGGGUGAGAGCCCCGUACAGUUGGACACCAAGCCUUUGUAAAGCUCCUUCGACGAGUCGAGUAGUUUGGGAAUGCUGCUCAAAAUGGGAGGUAUAUUUCUUCUAAAGCUAAAUACCGGCCAGAGACCGAUAGCGCACAAGUAGAGUGAUCGAAAGAUGAAAAGCACUUUGAAAAGAGGGUUAAAC